GAUGAACGCUGGCGGCGUGCCUAAUACAUGCAAGUCGAGCGAACAGACGAGGAGCUUGCUCCUCUGACGUUAGCGGCGGACGGGUGAGUAACACGUGGAUAACCUACCUAUAAGACUGGGAUAACUUCGGGAAACCGGAGCUAAUACCGGAUAAUAUAUUGAACCGCAUGGUUCAAUAGUGAAAGACGGUUUUGCUGUCACUUUUAGAUGGAUCCGCGCCGCAUUAGCUAGUUGGUAAGGUAACGGCUUACCAAGGCGACGAUGCGUAGCCGACCUGAGAGGGUGAUCGGCCACACUGGAACUGAGACACGGUCCAGACUCCUACGGGAGGCAGCAGUAGGGAAUCUUCCGCAAUGGGCGAAAGCUUGACGGAGCAACGCCGCGUGAGUGAUGAAGGUCUUCGGAUCGUAAAACUCUGUUAUUAGGGAAGAACAAAUGUGUAAGUAACUAUGCACGUCUUGACGGUACCUAAUCAGAAAGCCACGGCUAACUACGUG
rnacentral:rRNA from 1 species